UACGGAGGGUGCAAGCGUUAUCCGGAUUCACUGGGUUUAAAGGGUGCGUAGGCGGAUAGGUAAGUCCGUGGUGAAAUCCUGCAGCUUAACUGCAGAACUGCCGUGGAUACUAUCUAUCUUGAAUGUCGUGGAGGUUAGCGGAAUAUGUCAUGUAGCGGUGAAAUGCUUAGAUAUGACAUAGAACACCCAUUGCGAAGGCAGCUAACUACGCGAUAAUUGACGCUGAUGCACGAAGCGUGGGGAUCAAACAGG
rnacentral:rRNA from 1 species